rnacentral:tRNA from 1 species
GGAGGCGUAGCUCAGUGGUAGAGUGUGUGCUUCGCAUGUACGAGGUUCUGGUUCAAUUCCUGGCACCUCCA